ACCGAUGGCGACCGGCGCACGGGUGAGUAACACGCAUCCAACCUGCCGAUAACUCGGGGAUAGCCUUUCGAAAGAAAGAUUAAUACCCGAUGGUAUAAUAAAGCCGCAUGGUUUAAUUAUUAAAGAAUUUCGGUUAUCGAUGGGGAUGCGUUCCAUUAGGCAGUUGGUGAGGUAACGGCUCACCAAACCUUCGAUGGAUAGGGGUUCUGAGAGGAAGGUCCCCCACAUUGGAACUGAGACACGGUCCAA
rnacentral:rRNA from 1 species